ACAAUAUACUUUAUUGCCUGCUAGAUAAUCAAAGUGAGGAGUAAACACCAUAGCUGGAAAAAGCAGAAAAGGACUAGGAGAAGGAAAAGAAUAUCCAGUCACCAAACAAGUUAUCAGGCAAUAAACCAUACACAAUAUAAAUAAUCUGUUUCCCAAACAACUAAAUCUUUAUUUUGCUAAUGGCCAUUAUAUGGUUAAUUAUCAGUAGUAAAAUCUCUGGGUUUCCUUUUCUACACAGCAUUAGUAGUAAGAAAUAUAUAAGGGACUCUGCAGAAAGCAAUACAAAGGAGUUAUAUACACAGGCACCUUCUGUGGAGCAAGAACAGAACCUCAUCUAAUAAGGAAGGGCUAUCUACAAACCAGAGGACCAUGGUAAUACAAUAUUAGCUCAGACUUAGUUUAGCUGCAGCCUUUCCACAAGGUAGGCUAGCCAACUUAUGUAUACAUAUAUAUUUUAAUAUAGAUAUAUAUAGAGAUUUAUUAUUUUAAAAAUAAUGUGAACUACCUGUAGUUCCUAGACUAAUUUUAAAGAGGCAGUGUACCUUUCUGAAGCUUCAUUUCAGGAAGUAUAUUAAAAAUGGUAUAUAAAAGACUAGCAGACCCAAGCUCACAUAUCGAGUCCUGGUAUCAUCCCUCCAACUUCUUUUUCUAAUGCUGUAGCUGCCACCUGCAUUGACAGCAAUGCCUUUAGUCAUCUGGAUUGCUAUUUAUGUUGCUGUAAUUGCUACCACUAAAUUUACUGGAUUAUAGUGUUAGUAAUUGUGGAUUAUAAAUAGCAAUAAUGCUGCAGUACACUGUCAAAGCCUGCCGCGGUAUGAAGAUCUAGUCUGUAUGUGCAUGCAGAAUUUUGUUGCUUAAUCUAAAAGAAGAUUUCUCAGUCCAAGUGCUUCCCCUGUCAAUCCCACCACGCUUUCCAACCACAUGGCAAGGGCUCCUCUCUCUUAAGGAAGAUGUGAUGCCUCUCACCCCACACCAGCUCUCAGCAGCCCUUUGUUUUCAGACAUAAUAAUCCUUUCCUCUCACACAGCCAGUGUCCUUAAGGCUACUAAACACGACUUAUUAAAAUUAAAACUGACUAUUUGAGGAAAUGCUUUUGACACAUUUUGGUCCAUGUGAGCCUCGUGCUCCCCACAGCAGGCAGGGAGCAGAGUGCUGCCUGCCCAGGAGCCAAGCCCAAACUGCAGCAGGGGAUGAGAAAGGGAGAGACAUUUGCAGGGAGCACCACCAAGGCCCAGCAAAGCCCAGGGUGCCUUUUGCAUCACCCUUUUCCAGUCUGCUCCCUGUUGGUGUCUUGGGGUGCCCUCCCAAAGGCAAAGUGGGAGCAGGCAUGUGCAGGCAGGCUCCAAUGUAUCCCCUAAAAACAGGGAUGGAGGCAUGAGCCCCUCUUGUAGGUGGUAUCACUCUGCUCUCAGCCCACACAGGUGUCACCCAACAUGCUCCCUGCCUCAGGGUUUCUAGAAUCCUCUUCCCAAAUCAGUGGGAAUCAGCUGCUCUGCCCCAGGUACCCCAGCAGUGUUGAGGGUAUCCCCCACAGCCUGCUGCCUUUCCUGCCAAACCUGUGUCACCUAGCAUCAUCCCACCUGCACAAGUGACCACUCUGCUCCCCUGCACCCCCAGCCAGGCACAAACAGCCUCCAGUGCAAACUGAACAUCUGCCAAAAGCACCCAGCACACACUCAGCAGAAGCCAUCUAUGAUACAGCACAUGUAUCAAGGAAAGUGUGGCAAUAAACACUUUUCCCUAAUAAUUCUGACAUUUUGAUAGGGGAGCUUAAAAGUAGGUAUUUAAAAGAAGGAUGCCCUGAUGUGUUUGCAGUGGGAGGGAAGGAAGGAUGGGCUGUACCCAAGAGCUCUCAGCCCAGCAAACACAUCCUGGCUGAAUUGCAGCCUCUGCAUCUUUGAUUACAAAACAGUAAAGACGGAAAGUUCCUGACUGGGAUUUCAAGUGAACCCAGAAGCAAUCUGAAUCAGAAGCUACCUGAGCACAGGUAUCCUUUGUCUCAUCCAGGUACCCACAGGGAACAGGUGGAAAGUACCACAAGAAGAGGGGCACACAAAGCUGGAAGCUGAGCUUUUUGGUGCAUGAUACAAAUUCUUCUGCCUUUAUCAGAAAAGCCAAUGUGGAGGGACACUGCUUAAAACCCAGUCCCUUCAGUCUCUGCAUCACCACAGAGCAACAUUUCACCUUAUUUAUGCCCUUAGACUUUGCUUUGCCAUUGACACUGUGCAAGCACAACACAAGAGAAAUGCCUUUUUUUUUUUUCUUGUAUUUUGCUAAGAAUUUUGUGCAUGCAAAGGUAAGAGGAUCAGAGUUAUUUUUCAGUUCUGUUAGUAAUUCCUCUCCAACUCUACAGGACUCAAAGCACAUGCUGAUACUGAAGAGUAGGGAAAUGCAGGAAGCACGUGGUUAUGCUGGGAGGAAAGGAAAAAAAAAGGUCAAAUUUUAAGUGAGAAGCAAUUACACUGUAAAAUCAGGUGAAUAUUCAUCUGUACUGGCUGCUCUUGUGUUUUUGACUGCUGAGUAACCGGGUAUAAUUUGGAAGUCAUACCCUGGGUUAUCUGCUGUAAAGUUCAAUGAUUUUUUGUCACUUUUGUCUCCACUGUAACUUGUUUUGCUUAUUCCAGGUAGAGUUCCCAGGGCUGAGCAGCACUGAGAAAACCAUGAAGGAUUAAGAGUCUAUGAGAGUAGGAGAAACACUGUGAAACAUGAAGGAAAACCCUCUUCCUUCCCCAGGCAUCACUGAAGACUACAUUGAUGGUGAAAGGAGGACUACUGAACACACUGGUUAAUUUGCAACUGCAGUGUAGCCUGAUAGGCAUGCACCAUAGUUUCACAGUUUGUGACAACAGGAGCAAAAACAGGGGCAGUUUGUGGAGCAAAAACUCCUAGCUUAAGCCAGGGUGAUUAUUGGGCUUGGGGAAAAUAAUUUCAUCCUUCCCACAAAUUUGGUUUCCCCUUUUAUAGCGCCAGUUCUUCAAAUCACAAAGUUGUUGAGGAAAUUGCAUUUUCUAAACUGCUCCAUUGCCUCUUUUUCCUUUUUAAGCCAUUAAAUAUUUUCUCUCUCAACGCUUGGAGGACGCCAACUUGUGCAGGAGGUUGUCUGUGGAGAUCCUGCCCUUCAGAGUCAGUCUUUGGUCAGUACAGGGAUUUCAUCAAAGGCUCCUACUGGGACUGAACAGACCUGGGUGCCCCAUCCAUCCAAGUCCAUAAAUGAGGCCAGAUGUCACCUGGAGCAGGAUCUAUAGGAAGCCUCUCUUUGUGUCCUGCCUGGCCAUGCAGCCAGGGCUCUGCAGGGCUGGUGCUCACAGCCUUGGCAGCCCUGGGCAUGGCUGGGGCCCUGACCAUGGCAGUGUGGGGCUACAAAGGGCUGCUGUGCCCUGCAGGAGGCACCUGCCGGCUGCCACGGGGGCUGGGGGGCUUUGCCAUCACCUCCCCACACACAGCUUGGUGUGGGCACACAGCAGAGCAGGGCUGCAGGGUCUGGGGCAGGGUCCCAGCACAUGCCAGCAUGGCUGGGGUGAUCUCUGCCUGGUGCCUGUAGGGUCUAAGAGAUUUACUGACCCAUUCCUGCAAGCCUGCUGCUUCUGCUGAGCGUGACAAAGCCCUGAGUCCAGCCUGAGAGCCUCCUGAUCAACCACAACAGGCAGAAAAGGAAGCACUGCCCAGCUUGAGGGAUGUGCUGUCCCCUUUGCUUCCCCAGCAAUGGAUUCUCAGCAUGGUGUGACACCCAGAGACUCCUCACUGAACUGGUGCACAGGUAACAAACAGGGGAGUGCACAGCUCUUGUAACACACUCCAUUAGUGUCCUGCUUCAAAAUUAUUCCACUAGUCCUGGUUUGGAGCUGGAGAGAGAAUUGCAGGCACAGCCAUGGGUCCCUGUCCCAAAGCAGAGACCUGGGCAUGUCCUGGUGCCUGCACUGCCCACAGCUGUUUCCAAGGCAAAAGGAAGCAGGAGAGGACAGCUGUAGGCCAAGGGCAGGCUCUGGCCCCUGCUGCCUCUCCAGCCUCUUGCUGUGCUGGCACAAGCCUAAAUAAAUGGAUUAUGUUCUCCUUUGGUUUCCUCCUCGUAAUAUGGCUUUAUUGAUGGCCUUAAAAGGGUACCAAGGAAAAAGGCUAGCAAGCUGGGUCAGUUUGGGGCUAGGGAUUUUUUGGUUUGGCUGUUUUUUCACUGUCUGAACUCUGUAAAAAAAAAAAAAAAAAGAAGGCAUCUACUGGAUAGAAAACACAGCAUGAGGAGAAAGGUCUCUUUGAACCUUUCUGAUAUGGCUAUUAACCAUCAACCUGACACACCAUUCAAAGAAAGAGGUUUUUAAAGGCAUGGAGGAGUCCUGUGGUGAGCAAAUUUGGGCUGGGGCUCCUUGAAAAUCUUGUCUCAGAUUUUAUCUGACCAUUAUUUCUUAGGUUGCAUUUAUAAAAACAGCUGAAAUGCUCCUCUGUCUAAUGUCAUUUGAGGUCACUGUCUUUUUCUCCUAUACCCUAAAAUUUUGUACUUAGGCACUGGGGGAAUAAACCAUCCUCAAAAAGACAGUCAAACACAGCAUGGAAAAAACAGCAUGGGAAAUGGUUGAUUCUCCACUAUUAGAGGCUUUUAAGGACAAGUUCAACACUCACACAUCCACCCAUUCCAAGCUUAACCUGCCUUGGAAAAUGUCUAGCUGAUGUCUCCAAGUCCCUUUUGGCCCUGUGACUCUGCACCAAGUAAAUACUGCCAAGAUCUCAUCCUGCCACAGCCCAUCCUCCUUCAGCCUUUUUCCACCUUGAAAAAUGCUGACCUAUCUUCUGACUAAGUUGAUAAUGAACAAGAAAACCCCACAGUGACAAGAACCACUGCCUCUUUUAAACACCCUUCACUAGCUCUUGCCCAUGGAUUGCAUGUGUUGGGCAUUCAAGGAGCAUCUGCUUUCUAAAUCUACUACAAGUAGCCCAAAGAAUUAUGUGGCUUGCAUGAAACAUAACUGUGUCUUGUAAAAAAAAAAAAAAAAAAAGAAACUAUAAAGGUCAAGCUAGGAGCCUGGGCCAUUUUAAAACAGGCACUGACAAACAUCAUGACAAAGACCUUUAGGAAAUACCAACACUGCUGUGAUGAUGAUGUGCAACACUGCAUUUCACAUAACAUGAUUGCCCAAUGCAGCAACAUAACAGCAGCCAAAGGAGGGAAAGGAAGGGAACAAACAGCAGCAGCCACACUGGUCUGCCACACUCAUCUAUGGAUGGCAGUGGGAAUCCAUCUGUUCACCAUUUCUGCAGUAAAUCAUUCCUUGAGCAACUUAGAAAAUGCAGAAUUUGAUUUAUGGAGGUCUUUCUUUAUAGGCUUGUCUGCAUCCCCCACCCCUAUUUAUAAAUUUCACAUGGGUGAAAAGAAACCAUCUAGGGACAGAUUCAGUGGUGAAAGUCUGUGGCAUCCUUCCCCAAUUCAUGUUUCUGGAUGAAAGCAGUGCUCAGUAACAAUAACGAGAGGAUAAAAAAGUCUUUACACCAGCAAUUACUCCAUGUGCACAGAGCCUUGAGACAACCACCAUCACAACAGUAUUUCAAGGAGAUGGAUGAAGUUUACAACAGCAAGUGUCAGGUGCUUCCAGUGCCAAUCUCUGCCUGUAACAAACCUGCAGGGAACUGUCCCAACACAACCCCUGCUGUGCAAAGUGCCUACAGCAGCUUUCCAACACCAGCAGGUGAGAGAGACAGAAAUUAAAAUGGUAUUUUACAAACUGACAAGAUGUGCAGCCCAAGAGCCCUGGGCUGUGUGAAUCCCACAGGUGCAACUGGAGCUGCAGCUGCCUGCAGCACCUGCAUCCCUUGUCCCAUCCCUGUGGAUGCAGGGAAAAGCCAUAAUGCUGCAUGUCUGACCCCACAGCCUGCCCACACUGCUUAGGCAAGGCUGGAUCAGCAAGGUAACUGCAAAAGCCACUAUUAGGUUUGUUUGAUGAUUUCUUCCGUAAUUAUGGAGAAAAAAAUAAGUGUAAUUGUCUGGGGGUUGUCUUUUCCUAAGACAGAAUAAAGGAAGAAAUUAAGAAUAAGAUAAUAAAGAAAUUUAGAAAUGUGUUGAGUUUUAUUUUGCAAGUUAAGGCUUAGCAUGAGCUCUUGUGAAUGU
rnacentral:lncRNA from 1 species